rnacentral:tRNA from 1 species
AGAAAGUAAAGCAAGAACUGCUAACUCAUGCUCCCGCGCCUAUACCCGCGGCUUUCUU